rnacentral:rRNA from 1 species
GACGUAGGGCGCGAGCGUUGUCCGGAUUUAUUGGGCGAAAGAGCUCGUAGGCGGCUUGUCGCGUCGUCCGUGAAAACCUGCAGCUCAACUGCAGGCUUGCGGUCGAUACGGGCGAGGCUCGAGUUCGGUAGGGGAGACUGGAAUUCCUGGUGUAGCGGUGAAAUGCGCAGAUAUCAGGAGGAACACCGGUGGCGAAGGCGGGUCUCUGGGCCGGAUACUGACGCUGGAGGAGCG